rnacentral:rRNA from 1 species
UGCCAGCCGCCGCGGUAAUACGAAGGGUGCUAGCGUUGUUCGGAAUUACUGGGCGUAAAGAGCAUGUAGGCGGAUGAAUUAGUCAGAGGUGAAAUCCCAGGGCUCAACCCUGGAACUGCCCUUGAUACUGCUAGUCUUGAGUUCGAGAGAGGUAAGUGGAAUUCCGAGUGUAGAGGUGAAAUUCGUAGAUAUUCGGAGGAACACCAGUGGCGAAGGCGACUUUCUGGACCGAUACUGACGCUGAGACGCGAAAGCGUGGGGAGCAAACAGGAUUAGAUA